rnacentral:rRNA from 1 species
AACGCUAGCUACAGGCUUAACACAUGCAAGUCGAGGGGUCUCAAGGGAGCUUGCUCUUGAGAGACGACCGGCGCACGGGUGAGUAACGCGUAUCCAACCUGCCCUUCAUAUUGGGAUAGCCUUCCGAAAGGGAGAUUAAUACCGAAUAACAUGAGAAGAUUGCAUGAACCUCUCAUGAAAGCUCCGCGAUGAAGGAUGGGGAUGCGUUCCAUUAGGUAGUAGGCGGGGUAACGGCCCACCUAGCCUACGAUGGAUAGGGGUUCUGAGAGGAAGGUCCCCCACACUGGAACUGAGACACGGUCCAGACUCCUACGGGAGGCAGCAGUGAGGAAUAUUGGUCAAUGGGCGCAAGCCUGAACCAGCCAAGUAGCGUGAAGGAUGACUGCCCUAUGGGUUGUAAACUUCUUUUAUACGGGAACAAACCUUGGUACGCGUGCCAAAUUGCGUGUACCGUAUGAAUAAGCAUCGGCUAACUCCGUGCCAGCAGCCGCGGUAAUACGGAGGAUGCGAGCGUUAUCCGGAUUUAUUGGGUUUAGAGGGAGCGUAGGUGGUCCGUUAAGCCAGCUGUGAAAUACUGUAGCUCAACUACAGCCGUGCAGUUGGAACUGGCAGACUUGAGUGCACUAGAGGAAGGUGGAAUUCGUGGUGUAGCGGUGAAAUGUUUAGAUAUCACGAAGAACUCCGAUUG